UACGUAGGGCGCAAGCGUUGUCCGGAAUUAUUGGGCGUAAAGAGCUCGUAGGUGGUUUGUUACGUCUGCUGUGAAAACCUAGGGCUUAACCCUGGGCCUGCAGUGGAUACGGGCAGACUAGAGGUAGGUAGGGGAGAAUGGAAUUCCCGGUGUAGCGGUGAAAUGCGCAGAUAUCGGGAGGAACACCGGUGGCGAAGGCGGUUCUCUGGGCCUUACCUGACACUGAGGAGCGAAAGCGUGGGGAGCGAGCAGG
rnacentral:rRNA from 1 species